rnacentral:rRNA from 1 species
AUUGAACGCUGGCGGAAUGCUUUACACAUGCAAGUCGAGCGGCAGCACGGGGGCAACCCUGGUGGCGAGCGGCGAACGGGUGAGUAACACAUCGGAACGUACCCUGUCGUGGGGGAUAACGAAUCGAAAGAUUCGCUAAUACCGCAUACGACCCGAGGGUGAAAGCGGGGGAUCGCAAGACCUCGCGCGACAGGAGCGGCCGAUGGCGGAUUAGCUAGUUGGUGGGGUAAAGGCCCACCAAGGCGACGAUCCGUAGCGGGUCUGAGAGGACGGCCCGCCACACUGGGACUGAGACACGGCCCAGACUCCUACGGGAGGCAGCAGUGGGGAAUUUUGGACAAUGGGGGCAACCCUGAUCCAGCCAUUCCGCGUGAGUGAAGAAGGCCUUCGGUGUAAGACUCUUCGGUCAGGAACGAAAAGGACGUCUCUCUAACAUAGGGGUCGAAGUGACGGUACCUGAAGAAGAAGACACCGGCUAACUACGUGCCAGCAGCCGCGGUAAU